rnacentral:rRNA from 1 species
CCUCGGGGGGCUGCAGUGGGGAAUAUUGGACAAUGGGCGAAAGCCUGAUCCAGCCAUGCCGCGUGUGUGAAGAAGGCCUUCGGGUUGUAAAGCACUUUCAGUGGGGAAGAAAGCCUUGGGGCUAAUACCCUCGAGGAAGGACAUCACCCACAGAAGAAGCACCGGCUAACUCCGUGCCAGCAGCCGCGGUAAUACGGAGGGUGCGAGCGUUAAUCGGAAUUACUGGGCGUAAAGCGCGCGUAGGCGGUCUGAUAAGCCGGUUGUGAAAGCCCCGGGCUCAACCUGGGAACGGCAUCCGGAACUGUCAGGCUAGAGUGCAGGAGAGGAAGGUAGAAUUCCCGGUGUAGCGGUGAAAUGCGUAGAGAUCGGGAGGAAUACCAGUGGCGAAGGCGGCCUUCUGGACUGACACUGACGCUGAGGUGCGAAAGCGUGGGUAGCAAACAGGACUAGAUACCCGAGUAGUC